rnacentral:rRNA from 1 species
GCCUCAGUAACGGCGAGUGAAGCGGCAAUAGCUCAAAUUUGAAAUCUGGCUCUUUCAGAGUCCGAGUUGUAAUUUGUAGAGGAUGCUUCGGCUUACGUUUCGGUCUAAGUUCCUUGGAACAGGACGUCACAGAGGGUGAGAAUCCCGUUUGUGGCCGAGACUUCCGCCAUGUGAAGCUCCUUCGACGAGUCGAGUUGUUUGGGAAUGCAGCUCUAAAUGGGAGGUAUAUUUCUUCUAAAGCUAAAUACCGGCCAGAGACCGAUAGCGCACAAGUAGAGUGAUCGAAAGAUGAAAAGCACUUUGGAAAGAGAGUUAAAAAGUACGUGAAAUUGUUGAAAGGGAAGCGCUUGCGACCAGACUUGCCCGCGGAUGCUCAACCGGACCUUCGGCCGGUGCACUCUUCCGCGGUCAGGCCAGCAUCAGUUCGAGCGGUCGGAUAAAGGCCUUGGGAAUGUGGCUCUCUUCGGGGAGUGUUAUAGCCCUUGGUGUAAUACGGCCCGCCUGGACUGAGGCCCGCGCUUCGGCUAGGAUGCUGGCGUAAUGGUCGUAAGCGGCCCGUCUUGAAACACGGACCAAGGAGUCUAACAUCUAUGCGAGUGUUUGGGUGUCAAACCCGUGCGCGAAAUGAAAGUGAACGGAGGUGGGAACCUUAGGGUGCACCAUCGACCGAUCCUGAUGUCUUCGGAUGGAUUUGAGUAAGAGCAUAGCUGUUGGGACCCGAAAGAUGGUGAACUAUGCCUGAAUAGGGUGAAGCCAGAGGAAACUCUGGUGGAGGCUCGCAGCGGUUCUGACGUGCAAAUCGAUCGUCAAAUUUGGGUAUAGGGGCGAAA